ACUACAUUACAUAUGCCAGUCUGAUCGUCAGGAUCUUUGGUUGGACGGCGCAUUGGACGGGACGCGAUUGCGGGAAUAUUUUUUUGUUUAUUUUGUUUUUAUUUAAAAUGCCAUGAGAUACCCAAGUGACUUUGAAUUAGAAAUAGUGGAUAUUAAGUUUGUUAAUAUUUAUUGGUUUUUUAAAUGUAAUUAGAGGAGGAACAAUGUCAAAUAAAAAACAACAGUUUAUCAGGAUAUUAAACCAAGACGAACAAAAAAGUAAAUAAAUAAAACGAAAGCAAACCAAUGUGCAGGUGUCACGCAAUGUGUAAGCGUAAACAUAAGUGUAAAUUAGCAUGGAAAACGUGAAAUAAUUAAGAAGCAAUUCAGAUCAAGGCUUGAUAAUCAUCAUCAUAUCAUCUUGAUGACGCUAGGAAUUUCUUAUUAUGAUAAAACUCAACAUAAUUAAAUAAUUUAAUAAUUCAAUUACACUCACCUUUGAUCGUAGACCUUCAUUCUUAGAGAUGGGAUGUGUGUUGAUUAAGAUUAUCAAUUACACACCACUGUGAACAAGUUAAAUAUUCAAUUAACAAUCAAAUUUGUAUGGCUAAUGAGAAGAUUAUUAAAUGAGAAUGUAAACAAGGGAAUGAAUUAGAUGAUGACAAAAAGCUAUAAGAGCAAAAAGGAGAGGUUCACCUUUCUCGAGCACGAACCCAAGACUCACUUUCGUUUAGACGAAACGAAAGUUAAGAAGUUGAUUUACAAGCACGUCAUUCUCGUUUUUUAUAUAUAUAUAUAUAUAUUUACAUAUUUUUUUGUUUUUUUUCUUUUUUUCUUUUUUGAUUGCUAAAUAUUAUACCUUCAUAAACGUUUUUGAAUGAAAAAUUACAUAAAGUGAAAGGACCUGCACUUGAAAUAGUUCAAUAUGUAAUGCAAAAUUAUAUAGAAAAAAAUCUUACACAAUUGGGGCUAUAAUUAAAUAUCUUUAAUAUGCCCCUCCCCACCUCCCCUUUAUAUGGAUAAUCUAUGAGGUUAAUUAUUAAGGGGUAAUUUGGAUUCAACACGCAGGGCGAUUUGUCUGCAAAUAUCGAGGUUACUAAUCCUGUUACUUUUCAGUUGAAGGCCGAAUAUUUUUUAGCUACUCCAAAAAUUUUAUUUUAUCAAUUAAAAAAUAUGA